GGAUUUUCAGUUUUGCAUUUCCAUUGACUUGGUUUCCGUGUGUUGGUAGGAGCACACGUAAAAGUUUGUGGCCCAAGAAGAUGCAAGUUACCUAAAAUAUUGGUUAUUUGGCUUUAAUGGAACUUGUUUUACCCCAUCUUGACAUGAUUUGGUAAUUUGUUGGCAGGACGCCCAAAAUUUGAUUGGAAACUUAGCAAGGUUUUUAUUUUCUUCUCUAUUUUCUUUUUUUCUUCUUCGAUUACUUCACCUUGAGGUUGUGAUGGUGUUAAAUUCUGUGAUGCUCCACGAGUGACUCCAUAACAGUCUGGUUUCUCCAUAAGGAAAACCUAACCUCCACCUGAGCCCCCAUCUCUCACAAUCAAGACUUCAAACAGCCAGUUAUCUUGGUGAGACUCCAUGUAGGUGGAGAACAGGUCGCUUGGAUCAUCACUUUCGGAACCUGCAGUCUUCCAAUGGGCUACAUCUAAUACCUAUUGCCCUUCACUACCUGCUAGUCAUUCUUGAGGCCUCCUAACUGGUUGAUUUGCUGCUGCCUCUUUUUGGCCGAGACGUAUAGCUGCCAACAACGGACCCCCUUUCAGAACAGGUGGGCUCUGCUGCCAGUCGGAGAGACUCAGAAUUUCAGGUAAAUUUGCGUAUCUUGGAAACCAUAGUGAACCUUAAAGAAAAAAACUAAUGUCAGUGGAUCAAGCGCGCCUUUACUAGCACAUAAAACUGUUGAUCCAGCCAAGAAGUAAUAGCCAUAAAGUACACAAAGCGACAUACGUCAGAGUCUCCAAUUUAAUUACCAUGUACUAAUAAAAUUAACUUAAACACGUUGAUUAACACCAAUAAAUUGGGAGUUAGUGGUAGUCACUGUUCACUUUAUGUAAUAGUAUAAAUUUUCAGGUAUAUGUGUGAAUUAUUAUAGCUUGUAACAAAAUUUAAAAAGUAAAAAGUAAGUGCACUAGCUAAUUAUACAUAUAGUUGUAUAUGAUUGACUAGUCGUUUUUUUAUAUAAAUAUUAUUACAUUCA
rnacentral:lncRNA from 1 species